rnacentral:rRNA from 1 species
AUACGGAGGGAGCUAGCGUUGUUCGGAUUUACUGGGCGUAAAGCGCGCGUAGGCGGAUUGGCAAGUUGGGGGUGAAAUCCCGGGGCUUAACCCCGGAACUGCCCUCAAAACUGCUGAUCUAGAGACCGGGAGAGGUAAGCGGAAUUCCUAGUGUAGAGGUGAAAUUCGUAGAUAUUAGGAAGAACACCAGUGGCGAAGGCGGCUUACUGGACCGGUACUGACGCUAAGGUGCGAAAGCGUGGGGAGCAAACAGGAUUAGAAACCCCAGUAGUCC